AUGGCGGUGGUCUAAGGGUGU
rnacentral:miRNA from 1 species